rfam:Vigna radiata var. radiata cultivar VC1973A chromosome 10, whole genome shotgun sequence
AUACUUACCUGGACGGGGUCAAUGGGUGAUCAAGAAGGCCUAUGGCCUAGCCUGGUGACUUCCAUUGCACUUAGGAAGGGUGCCAGACUAAGGUCUCCCCAAGUGGGAGAGCCUACGUCAUAAUUUGUGGCAGUGGGGGCCUGCGUUCGCGCGGCCCCUUC